rnacentral:misc_RNA from 1 species
CCCUUCACUCUUAAAAAGCUGUAGGUUAGCUAGAUAUCGUGGUGAACUUCGGGCUACAUCUUCAAAGGCUGCUACUGAUGAAGUGGUGCUUGCAAAAACAACUCAACAAACUGCAGACCAAGAAGUGGGUGCUACAAUUUCAGCAACCCGUAUAACAACACAAUAUCAGCAGGAACAGCUGACUGUCAGCCAUGAAACGCUGACUACACUUUCAGCAGGAACUCCACCACGCAUGAAAGGAUGGCUAGUUAAAAAAUCACCCCCAAGAAGAAGAAAGUGUGAAGUAUUUGUGUUUUGUGUGUGAACUGAAAUCUGGGAACUAUGUAUCUGUGGUUUGUGUCUGUGUACUGAAAUCUGGGAACUGAAACUAUGUAUGUGUGGUUUCUGUGUGUGAACUGGAACUGAGUCACAGAACUAUGUAUCUGUGAUAUGUGUGAACUGCAAUCUGAAAUUGUCAGUUUAUUGCUGAACUCCCU